AGCGAACGCUGGCGGCAGGCUUAACACAUGCAAGUCGAGCGGGCACUUUCGGGUGUCAGCGGCGGACGGGUGAGUAACGCGUGGGAACGUGCCCUCUGGUUCGGAAUAACUCAGGGAAACUUGAGCUAAUACCGGAUGCGCCCUUUUGGGGAAAGGCUUGCUGCCGGAGGAUCGGCCCGCGUCUGAUUAGCUAGUUGGUGAGGUAACGGCUCACCAAGGCGACGAUCAGUAGCUGGUCUGAGAGGAUGAUCAGCCACACUGGGACUGAGACACGGCCCAGACUCCUACGGGAGGCAGCAGUGGGGAAUAUUGGACAAUGGGCGCAAGCCUGAUCCAGCCAUGCCGCGUGAGUGAUGAAGGCCUUAGGGUUGUAAAGCUCUUUUAUCCGGGACGAUAAUGACGGUACCGGAGGAAUAAGCCCCGGCUAACUUCGUG
rnacentral:rRNA from 1 species